ACCUUAUUGAGGGAUGCCCCUUAUGUGGCUGUAAUAGCACUUCUACUGUAUGUUGUUACCAGCUGUCACUUGGUCCUAUUGACUGGCUUAUGAUCUCGGAGGUCUUCCCAUUGAGGCUGCGAGGCCGCGGACUGAGCGUUGUUGCUGUUCUGGUGAACUUUGCCUGUCCUGUCCUUAUUGCCACAGCGCGUUGCUGCGUAUUCAUCUGCAAGAUGAAGUCAGUUGGCUGUUGGUAACUGUAUGUAUGAUGGUGUAGGAUUUGAUUGGAACGGGGGUGCUCUUUUGGGGAUUCGGGGUGAUUGCAAUGGCGUCUCUUGUGUUCAUAUUCUGCAUCGUCCAGGAGACGAAAGGGCUCACCCUGGAAGAGAUCGAAGCGAGUUUGUAGUAGUAGGCCCGUCGUGCAACAAUCAUACCAUUUCGUCACUUCACUUCACUGGAGUGGACUGCUGUCGGGAGCAUUGGUAUCGUUUUGCAGUC